GGCUCUGAACUCGCUAUCCUUCUGCCUCAGCCUCCUGAGCUGUUGGGAUUACAGGCAUGGACAACUAUGCCCAGUUCACGUUUUCUUUUCUCUUAGAAACAUUAGGAAUUUUUCUUAAAUUUAAUUAACCAAUUGACCAUAUAUCCUGUCCCAAAUUUGAAAUACAAAUCAAUAUCUACAUUCUGUUUUUCAAUAGGGAAGGGAAAGCUACAGUUCAGGGCAACAUAUAGCUAAAUCAGGAAUGGAGACAUCCCAGACCCACAUGCUACACAGGAAAACUGACUGGUCAGAGAACCUGGUCAGAGAACAGGACAGUAUGGGGAGGCGUCUGUAUGCUCCAGGUUGGUCUCUUCUCUCUAUUUCCCUCACAUUAUGCUGAAAGGAGCACAGACAUUAGACAUAGUUAGAUGCCAGUUGCACAAAGAGAAGUCAGGACUCCUUGAAUUCCCAGUAGGGAACUGGAAGAAAACAGAAAAAAAAAAAUCCUGUAUUGCUUGCUCAGUGACACAGAAGGUAACUAUCUCAGACUGUAAAAGAAAGUAUUAUGAACAAAUUCAGAUUAGUCAAUAAGUGGAGACCCUCUGAACAAUCCAUUACACACUCAAAAUUUUUAAAUCCUAUAACCCAGGAAUCUCCUUAUACCCCAACCCCUCUUCCUCUUCAGGCCUUCUAAGGUAGCUGCAAGCCUAGGGAGACCCAGGACUCCUGAGUUUGCACAGGAAUGAGAUUUCAGGCCUUCUGUGCUCAGACACGUGGCCACACGGGGGCGCCGUUGCACUGCCCUCCGAGGCUGCCAGAGCAGCUCUGGAGAGACCCAGCUUGUAGAAGGGCAGACAGAGAUGGCUGAUCUAGAGCCAGUGCAUGGAUGUGGGGAUGAAGAUGCUUCUAAGUUGUCUUUAAGGGCACAGGAGUUAUAGGACGCUCCUACUAGGAAUCACACCAAUUUCUCAGAUCUUCCCUCCAAAAGCCCUUUCUCCAGUUUCUGGAUAAUAACCUGGAAAACUGAAAGAAGUCAAUAUAUAUUCUACAAGCGGUUCCUUUCCCAACUAUUCUUUUUUAAACACAGACUUUAGCGAGGCAUGGUGCUGCAUGCUUGUAAUGACAGCUACUCUAGAAGCUGAAGUGGGAGUAUUCCAAGUUUGAGCCCAGCCUGGGGAAGUUAGCAAGACCCUGUAUCAAAAUAAAAGGAAAAGGACUGGGGAUAUAAAUCAGUGGUAGGGUCCCCUGGGUGCAAUACCCCAUACCAUCAAAAUAUACUUUAUUCUUGAAUAAUACCUUUAGAUUUAGAAAAAGAUAAAAGUAACACAGAGUUCCUGUGGAUCACAUACUCUUUUCCCAACUGUUAACAUCUUACUUAUAAUCAUGCACGUCACACUAUUAAAGCAAUAUUGAUAAAUUAUUAUUCAACAGCAUGUUUUAUUUGGAUUUCAUUAGCUUUUAUUGAUGACCCUCUUCUGUUCCAGAAUGUCAUCCAGGACACCACACUGCAUUUAGUUGCAAUCUAGUCUCCUUAAGGCUCCUCUGGUAUGACACUUUCUCAGAUUUUCUUUUCUUUUGAUGAUCUUCAUAUUUUUGAGGAGUUCUGCUCAGGAAUAUAGCAGAAUGAUCCCUGAUUUGAGUUGGGUUGGCUGGGUUGUGUAUUUGAGGAGACCACAGAGAUGAAAUGCUACUCAAUACAGCAUGUGGACUAUAGAUGCAUGUGGACUAUAGAUGCGAGACAAUUUCUUGAGAUUUUAAAAUCAUUCCUUUCUCUCAAUUAUUCUAGAAUUCACAUUUUUCAGUUGUUGAAAAUCCUUCACUGAUAGCCUAUGCUCUUAUAGUUCUUCUGUAUUCCUUACAAUUACUUUUCUAAUGAUACUACUUUUUUUUCCUGGUACUAUUUUAAUUGUCCAAAUCAUGUAUAUAAUUAUUCAUUUCUGUGACCAGUUCUAAAUUCUAAGAACUUCUUUUUGUUUUCUUUCUGGAAAUACUUGUGCACGAUUCCAUUACCUGUUCACAAAUACUAUAUCUUUUUACAUGUUUUAGCAAUUACUGAGAGUAGUGACAGUGAAUCAAACAAAAAAGUUGGGACCAGUUGGGAUCUCUCCACAGUUUAUUCAGAGUAGUGGUUCUCAAAGUGUGAUCUGUGGAACCCUUGAGGUGUUCAGACUAUUGCAUAGGAUUCAUAUGAUUAAAAAUAUUUUUAUAAUAUCACUAAAACAUUAUUUACACCAAAGUAAAAUUUGCCAAAGUGUAAUCUCUGGCAAACUGCAAUAGUAGUUAUUGUAUUCUUGAGCACCUUGUAACAGCAGAAAGGAAAAUAUGCCAGUUCACUCAAAUAUGUUUGGGCUUGAGUAGACCACAGAGAUGAAAUGCCACUCAAUACAGCAUGUUAAAAAUCAUUAACUGUAUUAAGUUGCCAUUCCAGAAUUCACAUUAUAAAACCACUUAGCUAAUAGAAUGGGAAGUACACAUGAAUCAUUUCUGCUGCAUUAGAAAGUACAGUGUUUGUGUCAACAAAAGUCAUGUGGAGAGUUGUACCAAUAGCCCCAUUUUUUGGAAUACCAUUCCUGCUUAAAGGAGUGACAGAGAAACUAUUCUUCAGACUUCAAUAUUUGGCCAACAUUCUAAAAAAUGAACUGAGUAUGUCCCUUCGAGAUAAUCCACAGACAGCAAUUUCAAUGAUAAAAUGUAUGCCCUGAAGAGAAAAUCACAAUUUAGGAGAAACUGUAUCCACCACUAUCAUCCCCACAGAUUCCCAAGUACUUACACACUAUCAGGUGAAAUCUGUGGAAAUAUCAACAUAUAACCUCUUGAUUUAUUUGCAUUUAAAUAACACUAGGAGGUCUAUAAAACUUGGUCAAACAGUGCAUGGCUUUAAAAAAUAUGCAUUUGCACAAAAUCCAUUCGAUGUGCAAGACAUGCUCAUUGUGCAAGACUUAAAUGCAAGAGAAUAUGAACUAUUCAAUAAUAAUGUUUCAGGGUCCCUAUGGCAAAAAAUCUUUAAGUAGCUAGCACUUUUGUCAUUUUAGUGUAGUAUCAAAGACAAAUAAUCACAGUUUUUGAAAACAUUAAUAAAAACAUGCUUCCUACAUGUUUCUGUGAGGCUGCAUUUUUGGUUUCAACCAAAAUCACAGAUUAAAUAAACAGAACUUUCAAAAUUGUAAACAGUAAAAUGAUCCAGUCUUCUGCUUAAAUUUUUUUGAUUUCUCUUUGAAAGUAUUGUUUCUGUUAACGUGUAAUUAGUUAUUUAUACUCAAAAGAAUAAAAUUUCUUUAAAAUAGAAUUAAUUUCUAAUAGGGCAAAUAUUGAUAGACAUAAUCCACAGAAACAUGAUUACCUCUGGAGUGCACACUACUUUCUAAGGCAUAUAAAGACCCUGAACCCAAAACGUUUGAGAACUGCUGAUUUCUUGAGGCAGAAAUUAAGGAAUGAUGUGACAAAGAUUAGUAUAAAGGAAUGUUCAGGGCAAAGUCCCAGCCAUGGCUGUGGGUCUCAGGGUCUAGAAAUGGCUCUGGGGAAUCGGCACAAAGCACUGGGGAUUUCCUAUCUCCGUGGAGUUUCAUUUAUCCUUCUCCCAACUGGGUCAGGUCUUUCUGCCCCGACACCCCUGACGCGGCCCCAGUUCUUGCUCCAAUUGCAUGUCCUGCUUCUAGAGAAGCCAAUCAGCGUCACCGCGGUUCGGGUUUUAACGUCCCCACCCCCAAAUCCCCGGGGAUCCAGAAUCUCUACAGAACCGCAGAAUGAGGGUGAUGGCGCCAGAACGCUGCUCCUGCAGCUGUCGGAGGCCCUGGCCCUGACAGAGACUUGGGCGGGUGAGUGCGGAGCGGGGAGGGAACUGGCCUCUGCGCGGGAGGAGCCAGGGGACCAUCUUGUGAACUCACAGGACAAGGGAAAGCCGCGUCUCUGCUGCCUCCCUCCCAGCGCGGCUCUUCCUGAAACUCCACUCCCGCCCCUAAGUCCUGCCCUCCCACAGCGUCCCGUGUCCCACCGCCCCCUUUGCAUAUCUCAAUCCCACUCCUCUCCUCCUUCACCCUGGGACCUGGGGUCAGCCACCCGCAGGAGAGUGCGCAGGUCUCAGCCGCUCCCGCCCCGGAGGCUCCCACUCUUUGAGCUACUUCGAGAUCUCCGUGUCCCGACCGGACCGCGGGGAGUCCCGGUACUUGGAGGUGGGCUACGUGGACGACACGCAGUUCGUGCGCUUCGACAGCGACGCCACGACACCGAAGAUGGAGCCGCGGGCGCCGUGGAUAGAGCCGGAGGGGCCGGGGUAUUGGGAGGAGGAGACACAGAGAGCCCAGAGCUACGUGUAGAGCUACCAAGUGAACCUGAUCACCCUGCUAGCCUACUACAACCAGAGCAAGGGUGAUCAGAACCUGAGGUCCUGCUCAGACACCUGAAGCCUCUUACACUGGGUUGUCUCAACCCCCUUCUAGAACUUUCUGAGGUAUAGGAGAUUAUGCCAGAAAUCCAGGUCCAGGCUUCUGUUUAGGUUUUGUGCUCCCUCCACCAAUCCAAUCCUGUUGUCAUUUCUGGGUGGACACGCUGAGUGCUGCUUCAGUAGCCCAGGACAGGUGGAAAAGGAUGGACAUAACACUCCAGCUGCCUGAAGGAUAAAGAACAGUGAUCCCUGAGACUUUUGGGGGUAGUUAGAGGGGAGCUAAUCCAUGCCAUAAUUUCUCCACUCUCCACAUCUCCUAUGGGCUCUGACCAAGUUCUAUUUUUGUUCUGCCCAGGAAAUGACAGUACCAGGGCUCUGAUAUGACUCUCACUGCUUGAAAAGUUCCCUACUGGGAAUUCAAGAAGUCCUGACUUCUCUUUGUGCAACUGGCAUCUAACUAUGUCUAAUGUCUGUGCUCCUCUCAGCAUAAUGUGAGGGAAAUAGAGAGAAGAGACCAUCCUGGAGCACACAGACCCCUCCCCACACUGUCCUGUUCUCUGACCAGGUUCUCUGACCAGUCAGUUUUCCUGUGUAGCAGAUGUGGGUCUGGGAUGUCUCCAUUCCUGAUUUAGCUAUAUGUUGCCCUGAACUGUAGUUUUCCCUUCCCUAUUGAAAAAUAGAAUGUAGAUAUUGAUUUGUAUUUCAAAUUUGUGACAGGAUAUAUGGUCAAUUGGUUAAUUAAAUUUAAGAAAAAAAUCCUAAAGUUUCUAAGAGAAAAGAAAACCUGAACUGGGCAUAGUUGUCCCAUGCCUGUAAUCCCAGCAGCUCAGGAGGCUGAGGCAGAAGGAUAUCGAGUUCAGA